rnacentral:rRNA from 1 species
CCCUUAGAUGUUCUGGGCCGCACGCGUGCUACACUGAGUGGAUCAGCGGGUCAGGUUGCGCGAAAGUGUUUCCUAAUCUUGAAAUCCGCUCGUGAUGGGGAUUGACGGUUGCAAUUUUCCGUCAUGAACGAGGAAUACCUUGUAAGCGCGGGUCAUCAUCCCGCGCUGAAUACGUCCCUGCCCUUUGUACACACCGCCCGUCGCUCCUACCGAUUGAGUGGUCCGGUGAGGCUUUGGGAUCUGAGCAAAGAGAGUGUUUCGCUCGUUUUGCCCGGAAAACUCAGUCGAACCUUAUCAUUUAGAGGAAGGAGAAGUCGUAACA